UUCGAUCAAUUAUGUCAAAUUUAGUUACUCUGUUCUUAUCAGUUUAAUAUCUGAUAUGUGGGUCACUUAUCCACAUGAUAUUAAAUUAAUAUUUUGAAGGGAGAAGGCCUGCAACAAUAGCUUGCUAUUGAGAGGUCUUCAAGCGUUGGCCAUGCGUUGCACUAUAGCAUGGUGUUGGCGCACCCUCA